rnacentral:rRNA from 1 species
UAGCAUAUCAAUAAGCGGAGGAAAAGAAACCAACAGGGAUUGCCUCAGUAACGGCGAGUGAAGCGGCAACAGCUCAAAUUUGAAAUCUGGGGCCUUCGGCUCCCGAGUUGUAAUUUGUAGAGGAUGCCUCGGGGGGUGCUUCGGCCCAAGUUCCUUGGAACAGGAUACCACAGAGGGUGAGAGUCCCGUAUCCGGCCGGCAGUACCCUCCGCGCGAGGCUCCUUCGACGAGUCGAGUUGUUUGGGAAUGCAGCUCUAAGCGGGUGGUAAAUUCCAUCUAAAGCUAAAUACUGGCCAGAGACCGAUAGCGAACAAGUAGAGUGAUCGAAAGAUGAAAAGCACUUUGAAAAGAGAGUCAAACAGUACGUGAAAUUGUUGAAAGGGAAGCGUAUGGGGGCAGACUUGGCCGCGGGGUUCAGGGUGUCUUUUGGCGCCUGUAUUUCCCCGUGGGCAGGCCAGCAUCGGUUUUGGGGGUUGGAUAAAGGCGUCGGGAAUGUGGCUCCCCUCGGGGAGUGUUAUAGCCCGUCGCGCAAUGCAGCCACCCGGGAUCGAGGACCGCGCUUCGGCAAGGAUGCUGGCGUAAUGGCCUCAUACGGCCCGUCUUGAAACACGGACCAAGGAGUCUAACAUCUAUGCGAGUGUUUGGGUGUCAAGCCCGAGCGCGCAAUGAAAGUGAACGGAGGUGGGAGCCCGUAAAAAGGCGCACCAUCGACCGAUCCUGACGUCUUCUGAGGGAUUUGAGUAAGAGCAUAGCUGUUGGGACCCGAAAGAUGGUGAACUAUGCGUGAAUAGGGUGAAGCCAGAGGAAACUCUGGUGGAGGCUCGCAGCGGUUCUGACGUGCAAAUCGAUCGUCAAAUUUGCGUAUAGGGGCGAAAGACUAAUCGAACCAUCUUAGUAGCUGGUUCCUGCCG